rnacentral:rRNA from 1 species
UACGGAGGGGGCUAGCGUUGUUCGGAAUUACUGGGCGUAAAGCGCACGUAGGCGGCUUUGUAAGUUAGAGGUGAAAGCCCGGGGCUCAACUCCGGAACUGCCUUUAAGACUGCAUCGCUAGAAUUGUGGAGAGGUAAGUGGAAUUCCGAGUGUAGAGGUGAAAUUCGUAGAUAUUCGGAAGAACACCAGUGGCGAAGGCGGCUCACUGGCCCGUUACCGACGCUCAGGCGCGACAGCGUGGGGAGCAAACAGG